rnacentral:RNase_P_RNA from 1 species
UGAGUAAGCCAGAUGAUCGCGUGUUAUCAACACGAGGAAAGUCCGGGCUCCACAGGGUAGGGCGCUGGAUAACACCCAGUAGGGGCAACCCUAAGGAUAGUGCAACAGAGAGAGACCGCCCGACAUUCAAUUUUAACAUUCUAUUAAAAAAUGGGUUGUUAAAAUUGAAUGUCGGGUAAGGCUGGAAAGGUGAGGUAAGAGCUCACCAGGGAUUAGGCGACUAAUCUGCUAUGUAAACCCCGUCCGGAGCAAGACCAAGCAGGGAUAAAAAAGGCGGCUACCCGUCGCUUCCCGUAGGUAGGUCGCUUGAGCCGAUUGGUAACAAUCGGUCUAGAUAGAUGAUCAUCAAAAACAGAACCCGGCUUAUAGGCUUAGUCACUUA